CAGCGGCCGGCGUCCCGGAACGGGAAGGGGCAGGGCCAAGAGGUGCGAGCCUCGGCCGGGAGGGUUUAAACGGCGCGCAGGCGCGCGUCGCGGUUGAGAAGGCGCGGAUCUUGGUGGCUGUGGGCCGUGGAAGUUUCAGGUGGGUGGUGUCCGCAGGUGGUGAUGCUGGUGCGGGUGGGGUCGCUGACCCUGUGUCAGGCCCUGAACUUUCCUGGGCUCGGCUGUCCGCUCCAUGAAGACAGUUAGUCGCGGGACUUCGCAGAGGCUUGGUGCGAGCGCGAACGGAGUUUAUUCCCGGCAGAGCGCUUCGAAGGGUGCUUGGCCCGAGGUCGGCGCACGGAGGGGGUAGCCCCUGUCGUUACUGCCGCGGCGUCCCCGGAAUCAGUCCGCUUCACUGCAUCCCCACCGCCCCUGCCGUCUCACUCCGGGGUUCGUCUCCAAAUUGUUCACCCCCAGUUAGGGAACGUCGUGUACUAAAAGGAACUAUGUCUCAGGAAGGCGAUUAUGGAAAGUGGACAAUAUCCAGUAGUGAUGAAAGUGAAGACGAAAAGCCAAAACUAGACAAGCCCCCUACUUUUUCCCUCCCUCGUGCUGGGCAGGGAGCAGCAAAUGAGCCAAGAUACACCUGUUCCGAGGCUAGGAAAGCUGCCCAUAGAAGGAAAAGGUCACCCGUGAAAUUCAGCAACGCAGAUUCAGAAGUUUCACCUCCCAAAAGGCAAAGGAGUGGUUCCCAGGAAGACCUAGGUUGGUGUCUCUCUAGCAGCGAUGAUGAGCUGCAACCAGAAACCCGGCAGAAGCAGGCUGAGAACAUUGUGGUCAAAGAGGAGAGAGGCAUCUCUUCUAAAGACAGUGCUGCCCAAAGACCUGGAAAUCCCACCCCUCCUGCACACCACAGGCUCGAGGAGGAGGAAGAGGAGUAUGAAACUUCAGGGGAAGGCCAAGACAUUUGGGACAUGUUGGAUAAAGGGAACCCCUUCCGAUUUUACCUCACUAGAGUCUCGGGCAUUGAGCCAAAGGAUAACUCUGGAGCCCUCCACAUCAAGGAUAUUUUAUCCCCUCUAUUUGGGACACUUCUGUCUUCAGCUCAGUUUAACUACUGCUUUGAUGUGGACUGGCUCGUAAAACAGUAUCCACCACAGUUCAGGAAGAAACCAAUCCUGCUUGUGCAUGGAGAUAAACGAGAAGCCAAGGCUCACUUACAUGCCCAGGCCAAGCCUUAUGAAAACAUUUCCCUCUGCCAGGCAAAGUUGGAUAUUGCAUUUGGAACACACCACACGAAAAUGAUGUUACUGCUGUACGAAGAAGGCCUCCGGGUUGUCAUACAUACCUCUAACCUCAUCCAUGCUGACUGGCAUCAGAAGACUCAGGGAAUAUGGUUGAGCCCCUUAUACCCACGAGUUGUCCACGGAACCCAGAGAUCUGGAGACUCGACAACACAUUUUAAAGCCGAUCUUAUCAGCUACUUAAUGGCUUAUAAUGCUCCUUCUCUCAAGGAGUGGAUAGAUGUUAUCCAAGAGCAUGAUCUCUCUGAAACCAAUGUUUAUCUUAUUGGAUCGACCCCAGGACGCUUUCAAGGAAGUCAAAAAGAUCAUUGGGGACAUUUUAGGCUUAGGAAGCUUCUGAAAGAGCAUGCCUCGUCCAUACCUAAAGGAGAGUCUUGGCCAAUAGUAGGUCAGUUUUCAAGCAUUGGCUCUAUGGGAGCUGACGAAUCAAAAUGGUUGUGUUCGGAGUUUAAAGAAAGCUUGGUGACCCAGGGGAAGGAGAGCAGGACCCCAGGGAAAAGUGCUGCUCCCCUCCAUCUGAUCUACCCUUCUGUGGAAAAUGUGCGGACCAGCUUAGAAGGCUAUCCCGCUGGUGGCUCUCUUCCCUAUAGCAUCCAGACAGCUGAAAAGCAGAAUUGGCUCCACUCCUAUUUUCACAAAUGGUCGGCUGAGACAUCUGGCCGCAGCAAUGCUAUGCCACAUAUUAAAACUUACAUGAGACUAUCUCCAGACUUCAGUCAAAUUGCCUGGUUCCUUGUCACAAGCGCGAAUCUGUCCAAGGCCGCCUGGGGAGCAUUAGAGAAGAAUGGUGCCCAGCUGAUGAUCCGUUCCUAUGAGCUUGGGGUCCUUUUCUUGCCAUCAGCAUUUGGCCUGGACAGCUUCAGAGUAAAACAGAAAUUCUUCUCAGGGAGCAAGGAGCCAACAUCCUCCUUUCCGGUGCCAUAUGAUCUUCCUCCAGAACUGUAUGGAAGUAAAGUAAUCCUGGGAGGUUGCUUGUGCAGCUAAUUCCCAUUUCACAGACGAGGAACCUGAGGCCAAAUUUGAACAUAGGUCUUCAGGGUUGUUUCCAUCGUGUCGUAUCAAGAUCGGCCAUGGAUUUGGAAUAUUCCUUAUACCAAAGCACCAGAUACACACGGGAAUAUGUGGGUUCCCUCCUGAGAAUCUUAAAGUACUGUGGAAUUUAGGUUUAAGGCAUCAGGCCCCAAAUAUUAGAUGUUGUUUGUACUGGACGUUCACCCGUAAGUUUUAUCUCUACACCCCUACAAAACUGCAAAAGUCACUCCUGUGAACAUGGAUGCUGGUUAUACUUUUAAUGGUCAUUAACAGUGUCACUAAAAAAAAACCUCACUUUUCUAAACUUUGGAAUGAAAACUGGACAGCGUUAAGAGAAUACACGUAAAACCAUCCUCCGAGCGACGUGGGAUCUCACGGUGGUGCCAGCUCUUCUGAAGACGGACUCUGCGUGUCGCGCCCCAUCGGGAAAGGCGCUCUGGAUUCAAACGCAACUUGUCAGGGGAGGAAUGUGAUUGUCCGCUUAUUACCCAGCCCGCAGCUGUGUGUCUCAGGGUUGGCGGAGGUUGGGGCGGCAGCUGUUGAGACGCCUGGGUCCUGCUGCCUCUCGUCUCCCCGCAGCCUCACGGGGCUUGUCCUGCUCCCGGUGCUGUGCCAGCCCCCUCUCUGCGCACGGGCGGGUCGCGCUGCCCCUUACCACCUGCCCUUUCCUCGCCCGUUCCUCCGAGUGGAGCGGUGUCUCUUUCAUCCCCACAAAAUUCCGGAAAAGACACACACAACCAUACAAAAGUACAAGUAUUGUACUUGGAAGAAACCCUGAAAGAUGACCUAAUUUGGUGCCUUUGAUUCACAAGUGAGGAAACUGAGGCCCAGAAAGGUUCAGGAUGACCACCCCCUCCCCACCACGCCCCCCAUCACAUAGCUGGUUUGGGUCAAAGCUCUGAGGGUCUCUCUCUGCUUUAUGUUCCUGUGUCCUUCAUACUUAGAAAUCAAGUUCUCCUAAGAUGUAGACCCUCUUUUAUUUUUUUUCUACAUGAGGCUGAUUUCAUUUUGUCACCACCUUCAUCUUUGAAGCGUGUUGAAUGUUAAUUUUGAAAGAUUUUUGAAGAUAGCUUUUCAGACCGUUCCUCAGAGGCCUACGAUUUUCACCUUUAGGAGCCAGCGGGGUGGGCGGGGGUGCGUUGACAGAGAAGACAGCUGCGGGCCUCCACCCUCGUCCUGUCAGAGCAGCUCUGCUUCACCUAUUUUAGAUUGUGGGAUUCUGUCAAGGAUAUUAUCGACGGGUGUGUGUGUGUGCACGUGUUCUGCUUUUUAAAAAGUUGAAAAGCCA